rnacentral:lncRNA from 1 species
ACAUUUUCAAAAAAAAAUCUAUGUACUUUUAAGAUCAAUGGUUUUGAAGUUGAUUCUCUAGGUGCUAAUGUAAAAAAUCACGUCUAUGGUUGACAUUAUUGGAUAAAUUAGUAGAUUAGUGGGCGACGACAUCCGACUUUAAGAUGGGUUUUCUCUCUAAAUACGUUGAUCUUCAUAAUGCCCAUAGAAUCAAAACAAAUUUUAUUUUCCACACUUUCAAUCAUUAUUUGAAGUUUGAUGUCG